GUGGAGUUGAAAAGAAAAUUAGGAAAGACAAUCAGGGAUUAUUAUUUUAGGAAAGACGAGGUACCUUCCGAAAUCGGAAUCUCUUGUUCAUAUGAGGUUCAUCCAAUCAGUGUUCGAGCAAUGAACCGCCUUCAUACUGUUUGUAAUGAUGUAGACAAUUUGGAACCACUCCUCCGAGCAUACCCCAAUGGCGAAGUUAAAAUUCUGAAUACAAGACAAGUUCUAGUUUCCAACUAUAUAGAUUGGAACAUCAAAAAACUUGAACCCUCUUUGGUGAUGUUCUUCUUUACAGGAGCAAAGAGUGAUAACAAACUGAACAUUGUUCCCAAAAGAAACCAAACCACCAUCCUGCCACAGUGAUCCACCACAAGUUCUAGCAAAAAGAACUUCAUAAGUUCUUCAACAAAUUGGUAGCUCUUCUGAAGUGAUAAAACAAAAUUCAUCACCGCAAAUCCAGCGGUAAAAUAUCACCGUUUCUUCUUUGUCUUUGUUCUUGUUCUUCUCCUCUUCUUGAAGAGUAAGUGUAGAAAAAUAUCACCAAUAAGGAGACGAACUCACCACAGGCUUUGAAUUGACGCUGAUAGUGUAACACUUUUCCCUGAUAAAUUUUCAACCGAGGGAGAGCAAA